UAGAUACCCUAUUAUUUGAAAUGUAAUUGGUUUACUAAAGUAGUAAUAGUUAUGUUCUUGAAACUUAAAAAAUUUGGCGGUAUUUUAGUCUAUUCAGAGGAACCUGUCCUAUAAUCGAUAAUCCACGUUGGACCUUACUUAAGUUUGUUUUCAGUUUGUAUACCGUCGUUAUAAGAAUAUUUUAUAAGAAUAAUAAUUUUCUAGAUUUUUUAUAAAAAUUUAUAUCAGAUCAAGGUGCAGCUUAUAUUUAAGUAGAGAUGGGUUACAAUAAUAAUAUUUAUACGAAUUAAUUUAUGAAAAUGAAUUAUGAAGGUGGAUUUGAAUGUAAAAUUAUAAAGAUUAAUAAUUUGAUUUUAGCU
rnacentral:rRNA from 1 species